rnacentral:ribozyme from 1 species
UGCCCAGCAUCUCCCAUCCCUACUUCCUCGUGGUACUGGCCGGGGUACGAGUAACCUUAGGGAAGAUCGGGUAACCAAACCCGGAGGGAACUCUGAUCGUAUGCUGACAGGGAAGG